rnacentral:rRNA from 1 species
CCUACGGGUGGCAGCAGUGGGGAAUAUUGGACAAUGGGCGAAAGCCUGAUCCAGCCAUGCCGCGUGUGUGAAGAAGGCCUUCGGGUUGUAAAGCACUUUCAGUGGGGAAGAAAGCCUUGGGGCUAAUACCCUCGAGGAAGGACAUCACCCACAGAAGAAGCACCGGCUAACUCCGUGCCAGCAGCCGCGGUAAUACGGAGGGUGCGAGCGUUAAUCGGAAUUACUGGGCGUAAAGCGCGCGUAGGCGGUCUGAUAAGCCGGUUGUGAAAGCCCCGGGCUCAACCUGGGAACGGCACUCCGGAACUGUCAGGCUAGAGUGCAGGAGAGGAAGGUAGAAUUCCCGGUGUAGCGGUGAAAUGCGUAGAGAUCGGGAGGAAUACCAGUGGCGAAGGCGGCCUUCUGGACUGACACUGACGCUGAGGUGCGAAAGCGUGGGUAGCAAACAGGAUUAGAUACCCGGGUAGUC